AACCAGCAAGCUUUUGGCAUGUGGCUGAUGUCUCCAGGCAGCCCGGACUACACAAAAAACACACGCUUGAUAGCAUUUGUAAUGAAUCGUCACCUUCAGUGAGAGCCUCUUCAAAAAACUGCACAUACUGGCAUGGACAGGACAUUUCCUCUUCUUUGCAACCCUGAACCUGGGAUCUCAUUCGUCAAUACGGGGGCCACCAGAGGAGAGACUGAGGGCUGGCUAAUGCUCCUUCAGCGUGAUGCCUGUGAGCCAUGGUAAUGCAUGAUGGCAUCACAAGCAGGACUAGAGAGUUUUGCCUCCAUCCUCCAGGCCAAGAAUUCAGAUGAAGAACAGGAGAACUACAAGCAAACACCAGUACUCUAAAUUACACCUUUAUCAUGCAGCUGGCAGGCACUGACUGAGCACCCAAGAUCUCCAAACAUCAUGCUAUGAGACACAAAAGAUGCUCUGUGGUCCUUGGCCAUCAAAACAUCCAUGUUCCGCCACCCAUCUCUGGGGCUGAGGGUGUCUGCUGGGCCAAAUUGUCUGCCGGUGACAGAGAGAAACCAACAGAAAGAGAGACAGAUGCCCUUGACAAACAGCACACUCUGCACUACACCUGUGUGACUUGUCACCAAGAGAUGUCCAACAGUGGAUGAUCAGAGAUGGGGAGAAAGCAGCUCACUUAUUUUUCACCAGCUCAUACCACAUCAGUCAUAAUCCAAAACAAAAAUCAAGAACUCCUGAGUCCUCGGGCGACUGCUUCAUGCAAACACAGAAAUGGUAUAACUGCGACCACUGUUUUUUGACUCUUCCCCAAAAGUAAAGGUACUGCUUUUAAUACCAUGCUUGCUGGACAUCCAUCCUCCAAAACACAAUGCAAUCAUUGUAAGACAGAGAGAGCGAGAGACUCUUUUCUGUGGGGGUAGGGGCAGGCAAACUAGAGCCUCUGCAGACACGCAGGGAAGAAACAGUCUUCUACUUCUUGUUGGAAUAAUGGUGGGACGCACACACGAAUGUUUCUGGCUCGCCUUAAAAGAAAGAAACUCUUUCAGAGAGCAGAGCCCUUAAACAUCUUAUCAGCCUUUGAAGUUACGCACAAUGACAUCCUUUGGUUCCUUGCCCGGGAUAGAGGUUUAAGCUUUAAGACUCCAUUUACUUACCAAGAAUUGUAGAAAUGUUUUCACUGCAGCAGAAGGCAAAAGAGCUGACUUAUUAAGCAGUAAGUGAUAGGAUGGUGAGGUGGAGGACAACAUCCUUUACACGGGGCACCCGACUGUGCUACAGGGCUCAAGAGCUGUGGGUCUAACUUUCUGGGGUUAAUUUCCUUGAUUUCCUGUCUUCUGCACAAUCAGAUCAGUUUUGUGAGACUAAAGCCAAAAUCCUAGAAGCAGAAUAGGUUCUGAUCCAUCCACUAUCCCUUCAACCCGUCCCUGGUCCAACCUGUCUUACUAACUAACACUUGUCCUUCCUCCCAACACCACUAGAUCACUACAACCCAUCUCACACCCCCGACAAAAAAGGUCACAGCACUCAGCUCCCCCCAAGAUACAGAGUUCAGAGUGCUGGUAUCUUUUCCCAUGAGGAGCCAGGAAAGGAGAGGGCCAUGUGCCAGCUGCUGCCCCACACAGUCCUCUAGGGCUUCUGGACGAGUGUGUAGUCCCCUCACGGCAGGUCCUGUACAUCUGGUGGACCACUCUAUGCCUGCACACUGUGUCUCCAGCCAGCACGGUGUCGAGUAUGUAGCGGGUACUCAUGACACGCUUGUGGAACAAUGGCCUGGUUGCCCCCACCCCUACCCUUCCUCUUUCCUUUCUGCUAGAUACUCAUCCAGGGGUACACUCUAUUUUUAGGGCCUCACCCAUGACGAAAUCCCAGACAUCAGAACUGCUUCCCAGAGCUGUUUGGUCUGUUUUUGUUUUAAUCUCACGCCACAGCAAAAAUUCUCAUGCAACACCCCCAAAAGCUGGGAACCCAGAGAUUCUAGGAACCUAGUACUAGUCACCUAAGAAAAGGUAAGAAUAUCACAUGCUGCUGUUAUCAUGGUCUGAUGAUCUCCGGAAAAUUAAUUACUGAAUUGGAGCCAAACACUUGAAGGAAAACAGAAGGAAAUCUGUUGCCUUGAGAUUUAUCUUUCUUCUUCAAAGAAAAGCGCACGGUUGCUUCUAUAGUACAUGAUGUUAAGACAGGACUUGGGCCAGUCAUUGUAAAGAGCAUCUGAAAAAUCACUCCGAAUUGUGUGUUCAGUUGUUUUGUGAAGGAUAUAACUAUUUAUUUACUUAAGUGGGGCCAGAAAAAUUCUGUGAAAAUAUCAGCUAAACUCAAGUCUCUACCAGCAAAUACGAGCAUGCAGUUCACAUAUGUGUCACCGU